rnacentral:rRNA from 1 species
GACGAACGCUGGCGGCGUGCUUAACACAUGCAAGUCGAACGGAAAGGCCCUGCUUUUGUGGGGUGCUCGAGUGGCGAACGGGUGAGUAACACGUGAGUAACCUGCCCUUGACUUUGGGAUAACUUCAGGAAACUGGGGCUAAUACCGGAUAGGAGCUCCUGCUGCAUGGUGGGGGUUGGAAAGUUUCGGCGGUUGGGGAUGGACUCGCGGCUUAUCAGCUUGUUGGUGGGGUAGUGGCUUACCAAGGCUUUGACGGGUAGCCGGCCUGAGAGGGUGACCGGCCACAUUGGGACUGAGAUACGGCCCAGACUCCUACGGGAGGCAGCGGUGGGGAAAAUUGCACAAUAGGCGGAAGCCUGAUGCAGCAACGCCGCGUGCGGGAUGACGGCCUUCGGGUUGUAAACCGCGUUCGCCUGUGACGAAGCGUGAGUGACGGUAAUGGGUAAAGAAGCACCGGCUAACUACGUG